rnacentral:rRNA from 1 species
AGCGAACGCUGGCGGCAUGCCUAACACAUGCAAGUCGAACGAGACCUUCGGGUCUAGUGGCGCACGGGUGCGUAACGCGUGGGAACCUGCCCUUAGGUUCGGAAUAACUCCCCGAAAGGGGUGCUAAUACCGGAUAAUGUCUUCGGACCAAAGAUUUAUCGCCUUUGGAUGGGCCCGCGUUGGAUUAGCUAGUUGGUAGGGUAAAAGCCUACCAAGGCGACGAUCCAUAGCUGGUCUGAGAGGAUGAUCAGCCACACUGGGACUGAGACACGGCCCAGACUCCUACGGGAGGCAGCAGUGGGGAAUAUUGGACAAUGGGCGAAAGCCUGAUCCAGCAAUGCCGCGUGAGUGAUGAAGGCCUUAGGGUUGUAAAGCUUUUUUACCCGGGAUGAUAAUGACAGUACCGGGAGAAUAAGCUCCGGCUAACUCCGUG